AAUUAUGACCUAAUAAACACAAUAAAUCAACAAAAAUCUCUUCACGCCUGAGUGCAUUCCGGGUUUUGUACUCGCCCUGCCAUUUGUAAACAACCAGAAGGGAGACAACUCCAAACAAAAUACAUCUGUAUAUACAUUGUACAAGGAUGCACCAAAGUGAUAUAUGAAUUUUUAUUUCCUUCAUGAGAGAUAUACAAUGUGUUAUUUCCCUGUCACUUAAUGCAUUUCAACUAAGUUAUUUCCCUGUCACUUAAUGCAUUUCAACUAAGUUAUUUCCCUGUCACUUAAUGCAUUUCAACUAAGUUAUUUCCCUGUCACUUAAUGCAUUUCAACUAAGUUAUUUCCCUGUCACUUAAUGCAUUUCAACUAAGUUAUUUCCCUGUCACUUAAUGCAUUUCAACUAAGUUAUUUCCCUGUCACUUAAUGCAUUUCAACUAAGUUAUUUCCCUGUCACUUAAUGCAUUUCAACUAAGUUAUUUCCCUGUCACUUAAUGCAUUUCAACUAAGUUAUUUCCCUGUCACUUAAUGCAUUUCAACUAAGUUAUUUCCCUGUCACUUAAUGCAUUUCAACUAAGUUAUUUCCCUGUCACUUAAUGCAUUUCAACUAAGUUAUUUCCCUGUCACUUAAUGCAUUUCAACUAAGUUAUUUCCCUGUCACUUAAUGCAUUUCAACUAAGUUAUUUCCCUGUCACUUAAUGCAUUUCAACUAAGUUAUUUCCCUGUCACUUAAUGCAUUUCAACUAAGUUAUUUCCCUGUCACUUAAUGCAUUUCAACUAAGUUAUUUCCCUGUCACUUAAUGCAUUUCAACUAAGUUAUUUCCCUGUCACUUAAUGCAUUUCAACUAAGUUAUUUCCCUGUCACUUAAUGCAUUUCAACUAAGUUAUUUCCCUGUCACUUAAUGCAUUUCAACUAAGUUAUUUCCCUGUCACUUAAUGCAUUUCAACUAAGUUAUUUCCCUGUCACUUAAUGCAUUUCAACUAAGUUAUUUCCCUGUCACUUAAUGCAUUUCAACUAAGUUAUUUCCCUGUCACUUAAUGCAUUUCAACUAAGUUAUUUCCCUGUCACUUAAUGCAUUUCAACUAAGUUAUUUCCCUGUCACUUAAUGCAUUUCAACUAAGUUAUUUCCCUGUCACUUAAUGCAUUUCAACUAAGUACGGACACUGUUACAAGGAUAUAAUAUAUAGGAAACAAAGAGGUUGUGUAUUUAUAGGUUCCUUGCUGAGGGUUCUGUAUAAUAUAUAAUAAUAGGGUGGAAGUUGAGCAUGUUUGUACGGUGUGCGUGAAUAUAGGCCUAUAUUAUAUUGAUGGAUGUGUGAAAGUGAAUACCUUGGUGUGUGUAGAUCGGCGAGCCAGUGAUUGAGUGGAUGUGGAUACCUGUAUCCUUUAUAUUCGUUGGUGCCGCUGGGACGUGUUUAACUGUCACUCGUGUCGUCAAUGUUUGUUUAUAUGCAGGUAUAUUUCUGGGGUAGCCAGAUCAAGUAGCUGUGUGCUGAUUGGUGUACUUCUAAACUCAUCUGUCAUUGACUGUCGUAUUUUCUAUAAAUUACAGCACACAUGCAUUUCGUGAGUUAGGUGGUAGAUUCCCAAGCUGAGCCUAACUCAACAUACUUUAUUGUCAGCUGUUAUCGGGUCAGGUUCUCUACAGAUUCCUGUUGUGUAUUGUACUGGCAAUGCAGGAUUUAACAGAUAACGCCUUUUAACCUAAAAAUAAGACAAAAAUACUUCUUUUCCUAAUUCUCCGACUAAUUGGUAUUGUGAUUAAUUAAAACUGGUGAAUGUUUUUCUCUGAUAUUUAAAUAAUAUAGACAAGUCAGUAUGUUUUCUUGAAUCAUGGAUGUAGUACCACAGACCCCAUACCAGAGACUGUCCCUCCUGAGGAAUGAUCCUUAUUUACGUUUGAAUAGUUACCUAAACUGGCCACCUUCUGCCCAUGUGACACCUCAGGACUUGUGCGAUGAUGGUUUUUAUUACACCGGGCUAGAAGACAGGGUUCAGUGUACACACUGUGGUGGGAUCCUUAGCUGCUGGGAACCUGGAGACAUCGUAGCCAAUGAACACAGUACACAUUUCCCGCAGUGUCCAUGGGUUGUUUCCAGGCGGAACAAUGCAUUUUCCCGACCUGCAAUACGGCAGUGUGGACUUAUCAACAUUAGCGACAGUGGUGGGUUCACAUUCGGACACCCAAGGAACACACCGGACAUUCCUCUCCGGUACCAGGCCCCUACACACCCAGGGGAUGUUCCAGGCACCAGUCGACCUAAGUAUCCAGAGUAUGCCUUAGAGAGUAACCGACUGGCAACUUUUAAAGGCUGGCCAUCUCAGCUGAGUCAGAAACCAGCAGCUUUGGCUAAGGGGGGACUUUUUUAUUUAGGACAGGGUGACCGAUGCAAGUGUUUCUUUUGCGGUGGAGUUCUAUAUGACUGGGACCUUGGAGACGAUAUCUGGACAGAACAUGCCAAAUGGUUUAAAGAUUGUCCUUUCGUCAAGCUGUCCAAAGGCGAGCCCUUCAUAAGUCAGGUUCAGCUGGACCUUCAACAAACACAGAGUCAAGGAGUAAAUAUGGAAAAUGUUGCCGAUGUACAACCAGUGUCUAAUUCAUUCCCAACUGGUGAACUGAGUGUGUCAUCAACACCAAAUGCACCAACAGGUUUCAUGGGCCUGUCAACUGGUCCCUCGAGUUCUGGGGUAUCAUCAGGAAUGCCUCCACUGGGUUCUACUGAUAGAGAUGAAACAGCACUUAAAUCUGUGGCGUUGUCAUCCACAACAUCAGCGUCCUCAAAACCAUCAGUAAAGUCAACAACGGAGCAGACAGCAAAGCCCAGCUCGUCGGGGACAAGCACAGGGCAGCCUGCUUCUGCUUCAGGGUCGAGUGAAGUCGGCUCAGAUAUAAAGAGUAUAAUUGAAGAAAACCAGAAGUUGAAAGACGAGAGGACAUGUAAGAUAUGUAUGGAUGAGGAGGUCAGUAUAUUGUUUCUACCCUGUGGUCACAUGGCUUGCUGUGCUGGCUGUUCUGUCAGUGUCAACGACUGUCCUAUCUGCCGAGCAGACAUCGCCCAGAGGAUAAAGGCUUACUGGAGUCUCUGACAUUGUUAAACUGUGGUCUUAUGAUCGGGAAAAUAUACAAAGUUAUUAUAAAUCAAAAAUCAUUCAUGAUAUUUCAUUGUUUGCUUAAUUCAGUCAUGUAGAUGUGUGACUUUUCUUUUUAUGAGGCUAGUGCGGUAUGUGUUGUCUGCUACACUACAUGUGCUUGGGUAAUUUAUAAGGUAUAGGGGUCGGGUGGGGCCCCUGUGUCUGGGUAGUUAAUCAGUAUAGGGGUCGGGUGGGGCCCUAUGUCUGGGUAGUUAAUCAGUAUAGGGGUCGGGUGGGGCCCUAUGUCUGGGUAAUUUAUAAGGUAUAGGGGUCGGGUGGGGCCCUAUGUCUAGGUAAUUUAUAAGGUAUAGGGGUCGGGUAGGGCCCUAUGUCUGGGUUAUUUGUCAGUAUAACAUAUAAGGGUCAGGUAGGGCCCUAUGUCUGGGUAAUUAAUCAGUAUAAGGGUCAGGUAGGGCCUAUGUCUGGGUAAUUUGUCAGUAUAACAUAUAGGGGUUAGGUAGGGCCCUAUGUCUAGGUAAUUUAUAAGGUAUAGGGGUCAGGUAGGGCCCUAUGUCUGGGUAAUUAAUCAGUAUAACAUAUAGGGGUUAGGCAGGGCCCUAUGUCUGGGUAAUUUGUCAGUAUAACAUAUAGGGGUUAGGCAGGGCCCUAUGUCUGGGUAAUUUGUCAGUAUAACAUAUAGGGGUUAGGCAGGGCCCUAUGUCUGGGUAAUUAAUCAGUAUAACAUAUAGGGGUUAGGCAGGGCCCUAUGUCUGGGUAAUUUGUCAGUAUAACAUAUAGGGGUCAGGCAGGGCCUAUGUCUGGGUAGUUAAUCAGUAUAAGGGUCAGGUAGGGCCUAUGUCUGGGUAAUUUGUCAGUAUAACAUAUAGGGGUCAGGUAGGGCCUAUGUCUGGGUAAUUUGUCAGUAUAACAUAUAGGGGUCAGGUAGGGCCCUAUGUCUGGGUAAUUUGUCAGUAUAACAUAUAGGGGUUAGGUAGGGCCUAUGUCUGGGUAAUUUGUCAGUAUAACAUAUAGGGGUUAGGCAGGGCCCUAUGUCUGGGUAAUUAAUCAGUAUAAGGGUCAGGUAGGGCCUAUGUCUGGGUAAUUUGUCAGUAUAACAUAUAGGGGUUAGGCAGGGCCCUAUGUCUGAGGGGAAGGUGCCCUUUAUUAAUCUGUCUGUAAUUUUAAUACUUUUAGUGUGAUUUACAUGAAAUUUGGUCAAGAUGUUCAGUUUACACAGUUUUGUAGCUUGUUAUUCGACCUUUAAUUUGUGGUGUUGUAUGUAAUAAUUAAUUUAUUAAUAUAGUCAUAAUGAAUUAAUUAAUGAUCAAUACAAUUUUUUCUACCAUGACGGUGUAUGAAAGAAGUCACAACCUAACGGGAUGAGAAUCAUGAACAUCAAGCCAAGUUCUGUUGAGUGUUACGUUUUGUUGAGCGAGAUUUGUUUGUGCAUAUUUACAUUCCUUAUUGUAUGUGUCUGCAUAUAUAACACAUCUAGUAAACCAAAUUGUAAAAUUAUACUUAGCUGUAGUUUACAGUGAUUCUAUCGGUGUGUGAUGUACAGUAAUUAGCUGUAGUUUACAGUGAUUCUAUCGGUGUGUGAUGUACAGUAAUUAGCUGUAGUUUACAGUGAUUCUAUCGGUGUGUGAUGUACAGUAAUUAGCUGUAGUUUACAGUGAUUCUAUCGGUGUGUGAUGUACAGUGUUCACAAAAUCAAAUCAGUGUUUACCUUCUCAUAUCACGAUUAAGAACAAUUUUCUUUGCACAUGGUAAUUUUCAGAAAUUAUCUUUUUAAUUGACUACAGAAAAUACUACACAGAUUUUUAGCUUAUUUCAGAUAUCAGGUAUCAACUGUUGUGUAUUGGCCUUGAACCUUUUUCACACAGAGUGAUGAAACUUGUGUGGAAUGACAAGUUGAAGGACCAAUUAUUCAUAUGUUUUAAUUGAAAUAAAAUGCAAGAUUGUCACCAU